GAAAGAACAGAAGAAAGGGAGAUGAAGGAAGCCCAGGGGAAAGAAGAUGGGAGUACCGAGAGGCAAAGGGAAAUCUAACUGCGUAGAAGAAAGACAAAAGGAGAAAGAUAAAGACACAGGAAAACUGUAAAGGCCAUGGACACAGAUCCAAGGGCUUACCGCUGGUCUUCCUGACGCCUUCCCCGUCUCUGGAGUUUUAGUCAGCCAAUCGUUGAUGCGGCCGGCCACGCCCACCUUUAUCCCAGCUGCAUCCUGUACGGGGUGGAAGAGCACACACCCUUUAAGGUCAAAGUUCAGCAUUUGAGAUAACUGCUUUAUCCCGAGGACUCAGUGUUCCCAUGAGUCAGCUGAUAGUGAGAGAGAGAGCGAGCGGGUGAGCGAGUCUUACCUUCAGUGAUGAUCCUCUGGGGCUGACGCAUUUAAAAGGCUUUCUGGCCUCU